AACGAACGCUGGCGGCAUGCCUAACACAUGCAAGUCGAACGAGACCUUCGGGUCUAGUGGCGCACGGGUGCGUAACGCGUGGGAACCUGCCUUUAGGUUCGGAAUAACUCAGAGAAAUUUGAGCUAAUACCGGAUAAUGUCUUCGGACCAAAGAUUUAUCGCCUUUAGAUGGGCCCGCGUUGGAUUAGCUAGUUGGUGGGGUAAAGGCCUACCAAGGCGACGAUCCAUAGCUGGUCUGAGAGGAUGAUCAGCCACACUGGGACUGAGACACGGCCCAGACUCCUACGGGAGGCAGCAGUGGGGAAUAUUGGACAAUGGGCGAAAGCCUGAUCCAGCAAUGCCGCGUGAGUGAUGAAGGCCUUAGGGUUGUAAAGCUCUUUUUACCCGACGAUGAUAAUGACAGUAUCGGGAGAAUAAGACUCCGGCUAACUCCGUGCCAGCAGCCGCGGUAA
rnacentral:rRNA from 1 species